UGCUUUAUUUGCAAAUUGAUUUGCUACAGUUUUUGGCGUAUAUCCUAAACGGAAAUCAUCUAAUCAACAAUACUUCGAUUCCGAUAUAAAUUUAAGGUGUGGUAUCGGAAAAAUCGCCAUUCUACAUCAGACAGUCUCGAGAAUAAAGAAAAAAAAAACACGAUGAUCAAAUUUUUGUUAGUCCUUUUUUGUCUUUUUUAUUUUAGCCACGUGGAUGCCCGGAAAUUGAUCGGGAUGGCCAUACGACCAAUGGGAAUGAUGAAUAUGGGUCCUAUGGGCAUGGGAAUGGCGGGUGGCGGUAUGGGAAUGGGAAUGUCCGGGAUGGGUAUGGGCGGUUCCAGGAUGGGUAUGUAUGGUAUGAGAGGCGGUAUGGGGAUGUCGAAUAUUGGUAUGAUGAUGUAAUAUUUAUGGUUUAGAAAUCAUUUCGAAGGACGAUUGUCGUGAUUAAUUUAAUUAAAAAAUUAUAUUAGAUAUGAAUUAAAUAAAUAAAUUUUCAAAUCUCAAAA